GGGUCCAAAGACCGACGUAGCGAGGAGAGGAAGAGGAAGAGGAAGUUGGGGGAGGGUCCUAGCGGGGAGUGAACCGGAAGCGUAAGCGCUCCUGCUUCUCGGCCAGGCGGAACCUGCUCUGCUGGGCCCAGUAGCCGCAAAAGAACUUUCUUUCUCCCGCCCGAACGGUCGCUGCGGCCAACUGCCUCGCCCGCCUGGCAGCCUAACCCGCCUUCUCUUCUCUCCGGCUUCGCGCGGCCCUGUCUCCCUGUCGCCCGGCGGUAUCCGCUUGCUGCUGCCACCGCCUCCUCGUCUUCUGCCCGGCCAACCGGCCUGCCCUGGCUGCAGUGAUGUGCGACAAGGAGUUCAUGUGGGCCCUGAAGAACGGAGACUUGGAUGAAGUGAAGGAUUAUGUGGCCAAGGGAGAGGACGUCAACCGGACACUAGAAGGUGGAAGGAAGCCUCUUCAUUAUGCAGCAGAUUGUGGGCAGCUUGAAAUCCUGGAAUUUCUCCUGCUGAAAGGAGCAGAUAUUAAUGCUCCAGAUAAGCACCAUAUUACCCCUCUUCUGUCUGCUGUCUAUGAGGGUCAUGUUUCCUGUGUGAAAUUGCUUCUGUCAAAGUGCAGCACCAUAAGCCUUGAAGAACACCAGUGGACCUCUACAAAGUGCCACCAGUGAUGCUGGAAGUGCUCCCAGAAAGUCACGACAUAACAAGAAAAAGUUGAAUUGCUCGCUAUAUACCACAUAGUGAGGUCUGCCGCUGCGGCUGCCUGCCAUUUCAGACGGACAAUUCAUCCUGUAAACAGGCAGCAUAAACUUACAGCAUCGCUGAAUACGGCUAAUCCCUGAGAUCACUCAUGGAGAGCCGUGAUGCUUUGGGCUAGAAGAGCCAGAAAGGAGAAUGGGUCAGGUCACUUGUCCGGGCUGGAGUCCACAGGGCUGAGACCAGGGUGAGAGAAGCUUUUUGCCUCAGAUAUAAAAUGUAAGGGGGCACCAAAAACUCAGCCAUCAAGAUAAACAAUACUGUAAUGCAAUAUUUUUAAAAAUCAAAAUGAAUACAAAACAAUCCAGGAUGAACAAACUGCCAACAUUUCAAAUAAAGACAGGAUCAAUAUUAUUGAUUUUUCUUUUUGCCUCAGGUCCCAAUACAGCUCAAUACAACACCGUUACUGAUCCUGUCUUUCUUUACAAUGUUCAUCCUAGAUUAUUUGUGCAUUAAUUUUGGGCUUUGUAAAUACUGCCUUCAAAUGUUAUUUAACUUGAUUUCUGAGGUUUGGGGUGCCCCAUUAGGUUCUGGGCCCGAGAUUAAGUGUCUCACUCUUCUCACUCUCCUUGUGUUGCUCCAGUUCCCUCACCUUCCUUUGACGCCCUAACUCAUUUCCAUUUCUUUUAGACUCUUAUCUCCCCUUCGUGGCUGUACAGAGGGAAGGCACAGAAGCUGGCAUCUCUAGAUGGUCCUGCUUCCGUUUACAAGCCUUCCUGACGUUCUCUGGGCUCAGCGCUGCCUGUUUCCUGGGCUUGUUUUAUACGCCAGCUCCCUCUUGCUCUGAUCCCAUCAUCACCGGGGCCCUUCCAGCCUGUGACCCCGCAUUACCUGCAGCAGGAGGCCCUCAGAGCUCCUGUGUGCCAGCUGUUUUUUUCCUCUUCUGAAGGAAUUGAUUCCCCGUGACCCCCUGAGCUGUAAUCUCAUCAGGCUGGAAUAACUUGACACUGCCAUUUGUCUGAAACAGAAGUCGUUUGUCUUCCAAACCACAGGGCUGGGGCUGUCACCAAUUCUGCCCCUUGACCUCCUCUCGGAGGACUGUGACCACUCCAUCAGCUGCUUUUGCCUCGCCUGGGAGAGAUUCCAUUAACCAGCAGGGAAGGAGAAAAACGCCCAGCCGAGAGUGAAGGGGCGCUGCAGGCACUGUUCUUGCUGAGGGCGCCUCUCCACCUGCAGGGGAGCCUGCUCACCGUGCUGGCCCCGGAGCCGGGACAGAGCUCUGCACAGGAUGCUGACUACAAGCACUGAGGGGCCUUCAGAGCCCUGCAAACGCCACAGAAGGUACGACUGUCAGCAAGGACACCAGACCUUGAGUGACUGACCUCUUUACAGCAGCACGUGGUAUUGCCAUUAGAAGCCUCACAACACUGUGUUGCAACCCCGGGAGCACCAUGUGAGGUGCAAGGAAAACUGGGGCCAAGUCCAAGGCUGCCCGUUAGCAGCUGUGCGACCUUGGGCACUUUGGGCCUCAGCGGCUUGACCUCCGUGAUGGGAACAAUAACAACCUCCCCUGCUAUUUCAGGGGACGGCUAAGACAGUAAAAUGAGUUAGUUGUGGAAAUGUUUAAAAACUCUACUGCACCAAACAAGUGUAACAUAUUAUUUUGAUAGUUAUCUAACCAAAAGUAAUUGCUAGGCACUUUCAACAUGCAACACCAAGGCAAGAGAUUGCCCCCAGACAAUAGGCAAGACAAGGGGGCCACUGUCUUAGCACAGGACUCGGGCUGUGGCAGUGGAGACACUGCAGGAAGCACAAGAGUAUAAGGUCCCAGCCUCUUGUCUCUCUCACCCUGUUGCUUGCUGGGACUCCACACCCACUGUGGCUGAAUCGGGAGAGACCUGAGCCACGUAGCAAGAGAAGCACCAUGAUCCAGCACGCCAUGGAGGAGCCCCGGGUGCUGUCCGGGGACAGAGAAGAUGCAACAGGAGCAAGGCAGCCCUGCAGAAGACGAGAAGGGGGUCCGAGAGCAUCUUGCACAGAGAACAGGAAGCCCAGUGAGUAGUGGCUCCCUGGAGCCAAAGAUGACCAGAAUGUUCCCAUGUGGCAGGACCUGGCCUAUGAGAGCAUAUAAAUCUAUAGUGCAUGUGACCAAGUGUCAGGACAUUGGGUUUUCCUUUUGUGGCUACCCAGCAAUUGAAUCCCAUUACAGCACAUUUUAUUGUGCUUCUAAGUGGAAAGCAGAGCCUUCUUCCAUUAGAGAUACUGGAAAAAAAAAACAAAAGCCAAAUAGUCAUUUUCCCAGCCUCCCUUGCAUCUAGGCCCAGACAAUCAGGCCUUAGGACAUACACAAAGAAAAGAGGCAAAGCAUCCUUUGGGCAGUGCGGCCACAGCCAUGGCAGCAGCUUCGAAUGUCUGAGGGCAGGGAUGUCCAGCGCCCUGGGCCAGCCGCUGGGAUGGUACAAACAGAGGUGUCCAGCAAUGGUGAAAGCAGUUGUAGGGGCCUCACCAGGCUGUUUUCUGGAAUGCAAUUUAGAUUGUAGUCCUAGCUGAUGCCUAAUCUCUUCUUGUUCAUACCUGAUUUCCAAACCUGGUUCUAUGACCUUCUGUUUUGGGCUGAAUAUUUGUGUACCCUUGAAAUUCAUAUGUUGAAGCCCUAACCCCAAAUGUGAUGGUAUUUGGAGGUGGGGCCUUUGAGAGGUGAUAGAUUAGGGCAUGAGAGUGGGACCCUCAUGAUGGGAUUAGUGCCUACAAGAAGAGGAAGGCAGAGAUAGAAGUAGACAGGACAGGUCUCUCUCUCUCUCUUCUUCCCCCCUGCCCCCAGGGAAACACCGCUUGAACACUCAGUCUACAAGCCAGGAGGAGAGCCCCCACCAGGAACCAAAUCUGCCCUGCCAACACCUUGAUCUUGGACUUCCUAUCCUCCAGAACUGUGAGGAAUAAACGUCUGCUGUUUAACCUGCCCAGUCUACAGUAUUUUGUUACAGCAGCCUAAGCUAAGACACCUUCCUAGAGGUUCCUUGACCUGUCUAAUCUCCAUUCAAUAAAUCUCUUAACCAUACACAUCAGCAGCAGUAGUUUCUGUUGUUUGUCUUGAAGAAGUGUGGAUGACACACCAAGUCAAAGAAGUAUCACAGACCCACACUGCUGAUCCCUGAGGGCUCAGGAACACAAUGGCCAUUAGGUGCCAACACAGCUUUUCAGAGGCCCUGAAAUACCGACUUAGGGCUUGAUGCAAGGAACAUGCCCUGUUGCCCAAGCCACACAGUGCAAGGUGUGAAACUCCCUGCAGGAGGGGAAUAAAAUAACAAACAU